rnacentral:misc_RNA from 1 species
AACGCACCUUGCGCUCCUUGGUAUUCCGAGGAGCAUGCCUGUUUGAGUGUCAUUAAUAUAUAUAUCAAACCCUCUUUGUUGAGUGGCUUGGAUGUGGAGGUUUUUUGCUGGCCUCUUAAAAGGUCCAGCUCCUCUGAAAUGCAUUAGCAGAACAGCCUGUUCAUUCAUUGGUGUGAUAACUAUCUGCGCUAUUGAAUGUGGGGCAGUUCAGCUUCCUAACAGUCCUUUGGACAAUUCAUCAUUUUAUGUGACCUCAAAUCAGGUAGGACUACCCGCUGAACUUAA